UCNGAACAUGUCCUGUAGUGGGGGAUAGCCCGGCGAAAGCCGGAUUAAUACCGCAUACGAUCUGAGGAUGAAAGCGGGGGACCUUCGGGCCUCGCGCUAUAGGGUUGGCCGAUGGCUGAUUAGCUAGUUGGUGGGGUAAAGGCCUACCAAGGCGACGAUCAGUAGCUGGUCUGAGAGGACGACCAGCCACACUGGGACUGAGACACGGCCCAGACUCCUACGGGAGGCAGCAGUGGGGAAUUUUGGACAAUGGGCGAAAGCCUGAUCCAGCAAUGCCGCGUGUGUGAAGAAGGCCUUCGGGUUGUAAAGCACUUUUGUCCGGAAAGAAAUCCUUGGUUCUAAUAUAGCCGGGGGAUGACGGUACCGGAAGAAUAAGCACCGGCUAACUACGUGCCAGCAGCCGCGGUAAUACGUAGGGUGCAAGCGUUAAUCGGAAUUACUGGGCGUAAAGCGUGCGCAGGCGGUUUGCUAAGACCGAUGUGAAAUCCCCGGGCUCAACCUGGGAACUGCAUUGGUGACUGGCAGGCUAGAGUAUGGCANANGGGGGUAGAAUUCCNCGUGUAGCAGUGAAAUGNGUA
rnacentral:rRNA from 1 species